CUGGAGGUAUCAGAAGUGCGAAUGCUGACAUAAGUAACGAUAAAGCGGGUGAAAAGCCCGCUCGCCGGAAGACCAAGGGUUCCUGUCCAACGUUAAUCGGGGCAGGGUGAGUCGACCCCUAAGGCGAGGCCGAAAGGCGUAGUCGAUGGGAAACGGGUUAAUAUUCCCGUACUUGGUGUUACUGCGAAGGGGGGACGGAGAAGGCUAUGUUGGCCGGGCGACGGUUGUCCCGGUUUAAGCGUGUAGGUGUGUGUUCCAGGUAAAUCCGGUUCACUUUAACACUGAGGCGUGACGACGAGGCACUACGGUGCUGAAGCAACAAAUGCCCUGCUUCCAGGAAAAGCCUCUAAGCAUCAGGUAACAUCAAAUCGUACCCCAAACCGACACAGGUGGUCAGGUAGAGAAUACCAAGGCGCUUGAGAGAACUCGGGUGAAGGAACUAGGCAAAAUGGUGCCGUAACUUCGGGAGAAGGCACGCUGACAUGUAGGUGAAGUGAUUUACUCAUGGAGCUGAAGUCAGUCGAAGAUACCAGCUGGCUGCAACUGUUUAUUAAAAACACAGCACUGUGCAAACACGAAAGUGGACGUAUACGGUGUGACGCCUGCCCGGUGCCGGAAGGUUAAUUGAUGGGGUCAGCGCAAGCGAAGCUCCUGAUCGAAGCCCCGGUAAACGGCGGCCGUAACUAUAACGGUCCUAAGGUAGCGAAAUUCCUUGUCGGGUAAGUUCCGACCUGCACGAAUGGCGUAAUGAUGGCCAGGCUGUCUCCACCCGAGACUCAGUGAAAUUGAACUCGCUGUGAAGAUGCAGUGUACCCGCGGCAAGACGGAAAGACCCCGUGAACCUUUACUAUAGCUUGACACUGAACAUUGAGCCUUGAUGUGUAGGAUAGGUGGGAGGCUUUGAAGUGUGGACGCCAGUCUGCAUGGAGCCGACCUUGAAAUACCACCCUUUAAUGUUUGAUGUUCUAACGUGGACCCGUGAUCCGGGUUGCGGACAGUGUCUGGUGGGUAGUUUGACUGGGGCGGUCUCCUCCUAAAGAGUAACGGAGGAGCACGAAGGUUGGCUAAUCCUGGUCGGACAUCAGGAGGUUAGUGCAAUGGCAUAAGCCAGCUUGACUGCGAGCGUGACGGCGCGAGCAGGUGCGAAAGCAGGUCAUAGUGAUCCGGUGGUUCUGAAUGGAAGGGCCAUCGCUCAACGGAUAAAAGGUACUCCGGGGAUAACAGGCUGAUACCGCCCAAGAGUUCAUAUCGACGGCGGUGUUUGGCACCUCGAUGUCGGCUCAUCACAUCCUGGGGCUGAAGUAGGUCCCAAGGGUAUGGCUGUUCGCCAUUUAAAGUGGUACGCGAGCUGGGUUUAGAACGUCGUGAGACAGUUCGGUCCCUAUCUGCCGUGGGCGCUGGAGAACUGAGGGGGGCUGCUCCUAGUACGAGAGGACCGGAGUGGACGCAUCACUGGUGUUCGGGUUGUCAUGCCAAUGGCACUGCCCGGUAGCUAAAUGCGGAAGAGAUAAGUGC
rnacentral:rRNA from 1 species